rnacentral:rRNA from 1 species
UACGGAGGGUGCGAGCGUUGUCCGGAAUCACUGGGCGUAAAGGGCGCGUAGGCGGCGCGGUAAGCGUGCGGUGAAAGUCCGGGGCUCAACCCCGGAUCGGCCGUGCGGACUGCCGGGCUUGAGCACUGUAGGGGCGGGUGGAACUCCGGGUGUAGCGGUGGAAUGCGUAGAGAUCCGGAAGAACACCGGUGGCGAAGGCGGCCCGCUGGGCAGUGACUGACGCUGAGGCGCGACAGCGUGGGGAGCGAACCGG